rnacentral:rRNA from 1 species
CUACGGGCGGCUCCAGUGAGGAAUAUUGCACAAUGGGGGGAACCCUGAUGCAGCAACGCCGCGUGGAGGAUGACUCAUUUCGGUGUGUAAACUCCUUUUAUAUGUCAAGAAAAUGACGGUAGCAUAUGAAUAAGCACCGGCUAACUCCGUGCCAGCAGCCGCGGUAAUAUGGAGGGUGCAAGCGUUACUCGGAAUCACUGGGCGUAAAGGACGCGUAGGCGGGUUGGAAAGUCAGGUGUGAAAUCCUACAGCUUAACUGUAGAACUGCACUUGAAACUUCUAAUCUAGAGUAUGGGAGGGGGAGAUGGAAUUAGUGGUGUAGGGGUAAAAUCCGUAGAUAUCACUAGGAAUACCUAAAGCGAAGGCGAUCUCCUGGAACAUUACUGACGCUAAGGCGUGAAAGCGUGGGGAGCAAACAGGAUUAGAUACCCUCGUAGUC